ACUUGACCUGCCAUUGGACGCAUCCUCAAACUUAAACGACAGUGACUGUGAGACGGACGCUGAGGACGCCCGGACCUGAUGGACGGGGGAGGGCCAGUCAGAGUCGGGAGCGCACCUGCUUGUUGAGCUGCGGGCUCUGCACGGCCGCGAAGAGCGUCAGCAGCCCCGCGCGGUAGCCGGGCCCCGCCCAGCGCGCCAGCCAGGCGGGCAGCAGCGCCUCCAGCUGCUCCAGGGCGCGGCCGGCGCGCGCCUCCAGGUCGGCCGGGGAGGGGGGCGCGCCCCGCGCCUGGAACACCGCCCCUGCGCGCCCGGCGCCGCCUCAGCCUCACUCGCAGUGCGUGGAGUCCACGCACUACACAAGUGGAACUCCUUGCUUGUUGGUUAUCGCGCUCCGACCGACUCCGGAGACACCGGGACGGCGACGCACCUCGCAGCAGGUGCACGAGGCGGGCCAAGCGCGGCGCCGCCAGCAGCCGGCGCAGCUUGCGGUCCAGGCAGAGGUCGGCGACGGCGUCGACUGUGCUGCGCAGGAGCGCGCGCACGGCCAGCGCCAGGCGCACGGCCGGCUGCGGGGCGGCGAACACCCGCACGGCUGUGGGCACCACCGCAACACGGCACAUCGUCCCCCCUUCCCCCUUCACCACGUCGCUCCCACCACCAUCAAGCUGGGUUGGAAUCAGGGGCGCAACAACAGGGGGUGAAGGGGGGGGGACAAGGGUAUUUCCCCCCCCCCCCCCUUCCGUCUGAAACCUUGAAGUGGGGUCAAACGGGGGCAAAGAAAGUGCUGUGUAAUCACUUUUUAGAUAAUAAAACUGCUCAAAUAGCACCAUU